AUUGAACGCUGGCGGCAGGCCUAACACAUGCAAGUCGAACGAGUGGCGGACGGGUGAGUAAUGUAUGGGAAACUGCCAGAUGGAGGGGGAUAACUACUGGAAACGGUAGCUAAUACCGCAUAACACCAUAUGAGCCCAGAUGGGUUGAGCUAGGUGGUGGGGUAACGGCUAACCACGGCGACGAUCCCUAGCUGGUCUGAGAGGAUGACCAGCCACCCUGGAACUGAGACACGGCCCAGACUCCUACGGGCGGCAGCGUUGGGGAAUUUUGCACAAUGGGCGCAACCCUGCUGCAGCCAUGCCGCGUGUAUGAAGAAGGCCUUCGGGUUGUAAAGUACUUUCAGCGGGGAGGCGUUACCCGCAGAAGAAGCACCGGCUAACUCCGUGCCAGCCGCCGCGGUAAUUC
rnacentral:rRNA from 1 species